AUUUAGUUUAUUUUAUUGUACUUUUUCUUUUUGCUCUUUACGUUUUUUAAAUAUUUUGAAUAUUUAUUUUUUUCCAUCAAAAUGAUCAGGAAAGACUUUGAGGAUUACAGAGUUCCUCCAGAAAAAAAGCUUUGUCCUAUCCCGAUCUUUGCAUACCUUGUCUGUGGAGUCAGCGCAUACACAGCAAACCAGUUUAAGAAUUAUAAAUCCCUGGAGGCCCACAUCCAAUUCACGAACGGCUGGGUGCAAGAUUUGUCCAUCUUUAUGCCUCCACGCUGCGACAACUGUACGUUGUCGUUAAGACAAAGGUAAGUACUGCACUCACAACGACUGAAUGAAACUGCACUGUGACCUCGUUGUGUGGACACAGAGAGACCUGUCAUACGCAUCUUCCCUGAUGUGGAUUUCUGGGAACCACGUUUAAAGCAAGCACAAGACUUCUUUCUUAAAGUGUGUCUUCCUGAACUUGUUGGGAAAUACUUCUCCAAACAACGUGCUGCUCUAAAU
ensembl:lncRNA